CGCGGCCUAUCAGCUUGUUGGUGGGGUAACGGCCCACCAAGGCUCCGACGGGUAGCCGGCCUGAGAGGGCGACCGGCCACACUGGGACUGAGGCACGGCCCAGACUCCUACGGGAGGCAGCAGUGGGGAAUAUUGCACAAUGGGCGAAAGCCUGAUGCAGCGACGCCGCGUGAGGGAUGACUGCCUUCGGGUUGUAAACCUCUUUCAGCUCCGACGAAGCGAAAGUGACGGUAGGAGCAGAAGAAGCACCGGCCAACUACGUGCCAGCAGCCGCGGUAAUACGUAGGGUGCAAGCGUUGUCCGGAAUUAUUGGGCGUAAAGAGCUCGUAGGCGGCUUGUCGCGUCGGCUGUGAAAACCUGGGGCUCAACCCCGGGCCUGCAGCCGAUACGGGCAAGCUAGAAUUCGGUAGGGGAGACUGGAAUUCCUGGUGUAGCGGUGAAAUGCGCAGAUAUCAGGAGGAACACCGGUGGCGAAGGCGGGUCUCUGGGCCGAUAUUGACGCUGAGGAGCGAAAGCGUGGGGAGCGAACAGGAUUAGAUACCCUGGUAGUCCACGCCGUAAACGUUGGGCGCUAGGUGUGGGUCACAUUCCACGUGGUCUGUGCCGCAGCUAACGCAUUAAGCGCCCCGCCUGGGGAGUACGG
rnacentral:rRNA from 1 species